UUUUCCAAGGACACACGGUUAAACGAGAAAACCGUAACUGUUUUUCGACGUUACAGUACCGUCCACAAAUUUCUCCGGUAGAAGAUGCGUACCCGACGAAACUGAGAUGAGAAUGCAACCUUUCAGUUUUUCAUUACGUCUAAUGUUGUGAUUUUUACGCCUCUGUUUAUCAUGGGAAGCAUGUAUCGAUGCGUCAGCGUUACUGGGAAAACUGGUCGAAUAUAGGGGGACGAAUUGGAGCGACAGCGGAGAAUAAAUGCGCACACUACGACCGCACAAACGAUACUCCGAUAAAACGCAACUUCAAAUAAUUUAAAUAAUAAAGCAAAAAAUUAAUACAAAAAUAAGGGUGAUUUUUUAAAUGGAACAUUUAGACAGUAAUAUGGUAAUAUAAUAGGAUAAUAAAAUAGUAGCAUAAUAGUACCACAAGACAUGUGAUGCUAUUUGACUUCUAAUCUAGAUCAGCAAGUUAUAAAAGCCAAAUAUUUAAUGAUAAUUACUUGAUGAUUACUUACAUUGUUAUGGUAAUAUUGUAAGAACAAAGGCAUUUCUGACUCCUCAAUAAAAGCCUACUAUUAUGCUGAAACUUUUGGAGUUUCAUAGAUUUAUAAGCGAACAGUAAAACGAUUAAAGGAGUAGCUUUCCGCUAUUGAAUCACUGCUGGAUUGGAAAAAGAAUUAUAAAUAAUCAGGCGGCAUUUACAGCUGGGAAAAUAUAGGGUUCAAGUGGUGCAUAUGUAAUGUGGAUGAUAAAAUAUCUGCAAGUUCAAGUUACAAUAUUUUCAAGAGGAACAAGAUAACACAAGAUGAUGACACAAGAUGACACAACUAGUAUCAUUCACAUCAUCUCUCAAGAAGCAUCGGUGGUUCAGUGGUAGAAUGCUCGCCUGCCACGCGGGCGGCCCGGGUUCGAUUCCCGGCCGAUGCAAAAUUGCUUUUUGCAAAACUUUUUGAACGAAGUGGAUGAACAGUCAACUCACCUACCCAAACCAAUGAUGCCAUUGGCACCUCUGGCCAGGCAGAGGAGACG